GUGUCAGCAGCCGCGGUAAUACGGGGGGGGCAAGCGUUGUUCGGAAUUACUGGGCGUAAAGGGUUCGUAGGUGGUCAACUAAGUCAUGCGUGAAAUCCCUCAGCUUAACUGGGGAACUGCGUCUGAUACUGGUUGACUUGAGUGCAGGAGAGGAACGCGGAAUUCCAGGUGUAGCGGUGAAAUGCGUAGAUAUCUGGAGGAACACCGGUGGCGAAGGCGGCGUUCUGGACUGUAACUGACACUGAGGAACGAAAGCCAGGGGAGCAAACGGGAUUAGAAACCCUUGUAGUCC
rnacentral:rRNA from 1 species